rnacentral:lncRNA from 1 species
GAAACUAGAUGACCUUCGAGGUCCUUUUCAACCCAGGCUGUUCUAUGAUCCUAUGCAUGACUGACUUCCAUGCUCUUUGACUAUUCCUCCCUAAUACAGUUGGGGUCAUUGCUGAACCAGCAUCAGAAGAAACCCCAGGACACACAAAAGCUCCCCAGCACAUCCUGGCAAUAGAAGCCACAUUGACCUCCUGAUAGACGUGCUCCAGAGCUGCAGUCUUGCUCACUGCUGCAUCCUCAAAAUAAGGGCAGCAAGACCUGAAGGAGCUGCUGUAGUCAGAUGGGAUUUGGGGACACGCUCACAGGAGCUGGCAGUCAGUAUGGCAAGAGCAAUGGCACUCACCUGGACAGCCCUAGCAACCCUGAGACCUGCUGCUGGAAGAUCUCACGUCACUGGGCUGGAGGAAUGAGCAGGGCCUGCUUCCCUGACUACUCUUCAUCAGUGAUCCUUCACCACAUUCGCAGCGUAGGCAUGCUUUCCAACUCUCUCCAAUUCAGAUCAACCCAUUCAUUUGUGAAAUACUUCUUGAUUCCUAAAGCUUCUAUUACUUUGGAGUUCUUGCAUUACCACAAGCAGUGACAGACUAUUCCACUGUCCUUCUUAAGCAGAUCAUGGUACUACCUACUCCAUGCUACAACUCACAACUGUGUGGUGUAUUAAUUGCUCCUACCUGUAUUAAAACAUCUCCUACAUCACUCAGCUGACAAAAUGCACAGUAUAGAGGCUUGUGCUUGCCUAAAUAGGACUACUUAAACACACCGUUUCUCACUAGCGUGGGCCUCUGGUGAAUGAUAUUCUCACAACUAGUAGCCCUACAGACUUACUACUACAGAUUAAGGAUGUUAAUGUACAAACAACUCAACAUUCACUACCGAG